AUGGUGCUCAUCGAGCUGUUCACCACGGGGCAGAUGCUGCUCACCAAGGUGGUGGUCGACGCCGGGCUCUUCGUCUUCGCCCUCCUCACCUACCGCUUCUUCCUCGGCGCCGCCCUCGUCGUCCCUCUCGCCCUCAUCUUUGAGCCAUUCACAAUUCCUGGUCUCUACUACAUUGGCCUCGGAGACACAUCGCCAGGAUACGCGAUAAACUUCUAUAACAUCAUCCCAAUUGCCACCUUCAUCCUCGCGGUCCUUUUCAGGAAGGAGUCACUGGACAUGAGGAGCCUGGUGGGGAACAUCAAGGUCAUUGGAACCCUAGUCUGUGUUGGAGGAACUCUGGUGAUCAGCCUGUACAAGGGCAAGGUGCUGCACCUUUGGCCCACCAAUAUCAUCGGCUACCACCCGAAGCAAGCCGGAGCUGCGUUUGGUCACCACCAUGUGCGUGGAACCGUCUUGCUCAUCACCAGCUGCCUCAGCCUCGCCGUUUGGUACACAGUACAGGCAAUACUUAACACUGCUGCCAAGUUUGUGAUGAUUUCGUGGGUUGUCACGCAGCGCGGGCCAACCUAUCCGGCCAUGUUUUGUGCCGUGUCGGUGUUCUUCACUACUAUUCUUGACUCACUGCUUCUCGGCCAUGAUCUAUCCGUUGGGAGUAUUCUCGGCAUGUUCAUGAUUCUAGCUGGGCUCUAUCUUUUCCUCUGGGGAAAGAGAAAAGAUUCGAUACUACCAAGCGAAGAAAACCCGAAGGAGCAAAUGUUGUUUGAGAAUGAAGAUAAGAACGAUAAAUCAGUUGCCAAUGUAUGA
rnacentral:rRNA from 1 species